rnacentral:rRNA from 1 species
GACGAACGCUGGCGGCGUGCUUAACACAUGCAAGUCGAACGAAGAGCGAUGGAAGCUUGCUUCUAUCAAUCUUAGUGGCGAACGGGUGAGUAACGCGUAAUCAACCUGCCCUUCAGAGGGGGACAACAGUUGGAAACGACUGCUAAUACCGCAUACGAUCUAAUCUCGGCAUCGAGGAUAGAUGAAAGGUGGCCUCUACAUGUAAGCUAUCACUGAAGGAGGAGUAUGCGGCUGCUUAGGUAGGUGGGUGGGGAAAGGGCCAACAAGGCGAUGAUCGGGAGGCGGUCGUGAGGGAGGAACGGCCCAAUUGGGAAUGAGACAAGGCCCAGAACCCUAAGGGAGGCAGCAGGGGGGAAUUUUCCGCAAUGGACGAAAGUCUGACGGAGCAACGCCGCGGGAGUGAUGACGGCCUUCGGGUUGUAAAGCUCUGUUAAUCGGGACGAAAGGACUGCUUGAGAAUAGUGAGAAGGAUUGACGGUACCGGAAUAGAAAGCCACGGCUAACUACGUG